UACGGAGGGUGCGAUCGUUAUUCGGAAUUACUGGGCGUAAAGCGCGCGUAGGUGGCGUGAUAAGUCGGUUGUGAAAGCCCCGGGCUCAACCUGGGAACGGCAUCCGGAACUGUCAGGCCAGAGUGUAGGAGAGGAAGGUAGAAUUCCCGGUGUAGCGGUGAAAUGCGUAGAGAUCGGGAGGAAUACCAGUGGCGAAGGCGGCCUUCUGGACUGACACUGACACUGAGGUGCGAAAGCGUGGGUAGCAAACAGG
rnacentral:misc_RNA from 1 species